rnacentral:rRNA from 1 species
AGUGAACGCUGGCGGUAGGCCUAACACAUGCAAGUCGAACGGCAGCACAGGAGAGCUUGCUCUCUGGGUGGCGAGUGGCGGACGGGUGAGGAAUACAUCGGAAUCUGCCCAGUCGUGGGGGAUAACGUAGGGAAACUUACGCUAAUACCGCAUACGACCUUCGGGUGAAAGAGGGGGCAUCGGCAAGACCUCUCGCGAUUGGAUGAGCCGAUGUCGGAUUAGCUAGUUGGCGGGGUAAUGGCCCACCAAGGCGACGAUCCGUAGCUGGUCUGAGAGGAUGAUCAGCCACACUGGAACUGAGACACGGUCCAGACUCCUACGGGGAGGCAGCAGUGGGGAAAUAUUGGACAAUGGGCGCAAGCCUGAUCCAGCCAUACCGCGUGGGUGAAGAAGGCCUCGGUUGUAAAGCCUUUGUGGAAAGAAAUCCUUUCGGUUAAUACCUGGAGGGGAUGACGGUACCAAAGAAUAAGCACCGGCUAACUUCGUGCCAGCAGCCGCGGUAAUACGAAGGGUGCAAGCGUUACUCGGAAUUACUGGGCGUAAAGCGUGCGUAGGUGGUUGCUUAAGUCUGUCGUGAAAGCCCUGGGCUCAACCUGGGAAUUGCGAUGGAUACUGGGCGACUAGAGUAAGGUAGAGGAUAGUGGAAUUUCCGGUGUAGCAGUGAAAUGCGUAGAGAUCGGAAGGAACAUCUGUGGCGAAGGGCGACUAUCUGGGGCCAUUACUGACACUGAGGCACGAAAAGCGUGGGGGAGCAAAACAGGAUUAGAUACCC